UACGUAGGGGCCGAGCGUUGUCCGGAGUUAUUGGGCGUAAAGCGCGCGCAGGCGGCUUCGCGCGUCCGACGUGAAAGCCCCCGGCUCAACCGGGGAGGGUCGUUGGGUACGGCGGAGCUUGAGGGCGGUAGAGGUUGGUGGAAUUCCCGGUGUAGUGGUGAAAUGCGUAGAUAUCGGGAGGAACAUCUGUGGCGAAGGCGACACCCUGGACCAGCACUGACACUGAGGUACGAAAGCGUGGGGAGCAAACAGG
rnacentral:rRNA from 1 species